ACAUCACGUUGAAAUACCGGUUCCGGUAGGAUCACCGAAGUUAAACAAUGUCGGGCCUGGUCAGUACCUAGAUGGGUGACUGCUUGGGAAUAUCAGGUGCCGUAAG